CCUACGGGCGGCAGCAGUAGGGAAUAUUGCUCAAUGGGGGAAACCCUGAAGCAGCAACGCCGCGUGGAUGAUGAAGGUCUUCGGAUUGUAAACCCCUUUUGUUAGAGAAGAUAAUGACGGUAUCUAACGAAUAAGCAUCGGUCAACUCCGAGCCAGCAGCCGCGGUAAUACGGAGGGUGCAAGCGUUACUCGGUAUCACUGGGCGUAAAGAGCACGUAGGCGGGAUAGCAAGUCUGAUGUGAAAUCCUAUGGCUUAACCAUAGAAGUGCAUUUGAAACUGUUAUUCUAGAGUAUGGGAGAGGUAGGUGGAAUUCUUGGUGUAGGGGUAAAAUCCGUAGAGAUCAAGAGGAAUACUCAUUGCGAAGGC
rnacentral:rRNA from 1 species